CUCUGAUAAGUUGCCUCUGGUGAAAGACAACACUAUGGCAUAAGUCAACGUAAAAAAAGUCAUGGCAAAAAGUCAAACAAGAAAGUCAAUGUUAUUGCAAAGUCAACAUUUUGGUAAAAAGUCAACGCCAAGUUAAAAAUCAACAUUUGGGAAAGACAAGGUUGGAAAAGUGUAAGAUCCUUAAUUUUAAAUUCUAAUUUAUGUAUUUUGGAGAAUUUUGUGUUGAAUUUC
rnacentral:lncRNA from 1 species